GCUAAACGCGAAGAACCUUACCAACCCUUGACAUUACAGGACAUCCCCAGAGAUGGGGCGUUUCACUUCGGUGACCUGUGGANAGGUGCUGCAUGGCUGUCGUCAGCUCGUGUCGUGAGAUGUUCGGUUAAGUCCGGCAACGAGCGCAACCCCUGCCUGCUGUUGCCAGCGGAGGAGCAAUCCUGCCGGGGACUCUGCAGGGACUGCCGGUGAUAAACCGGAGGAAGGUGGGACGACGUCAAGUCAUCAUGGUCCUUACGUCCGAGGGCUACACACGUGCUACAAUGGCCGGGUACAAACCGCAGCGAGCCCGUGAGGGUGAGCGAAUCGGAAAAACCCGGUCCAAGUUCGGAUUGCAGUCUGUAACUCGACUGCAUGAAGUUGGAAUCGCUAGUAAUCGUGGAUCAGCUACGCCACGGUGAAUCCGUUCCCGGGUCUUGUACACACCG
rnacentral:rRNA from 1 species